rfam:Myotis lucifugus cont2.7755, whole genome shotgun sequence.
GAUUCAGCAUCCAUUAGAAGUGGUUAUCAUGAGCCCCUUGAAUGAAAGGCACUGCCUCUUCCCCCGCACGCGCGGGUCCCGGCUCUGAAACUCCCACUCAGG